rnacentral:tRNA from 1 species
GGACGGUUAGCUCAGCUGGUAGAGCAUCGCCUUCACACGGCGGGGGCCACAGGUUCAAGUCCUGUACCGUCUACCA